CCAGCACCACCACUGACCUCGUCCCAGUUGCCGAGCUGGAAGCCUUUAGAUUUGACCCAGAAUUUGAAUUUGGCAUUAUCCGUGGAGCUCGACUCGGAGCCGUUCAGGAGCUGGACGAUCCGGUCGUAUUUUUUACGGGUCACCGUCUUGGUUUUUCCAGAGUCCCCGAGGCAAAACGGGUCUGGUGAACGCUCCUCUUAUCCUUCCACUGUACGUGAUCAGUCUCUUUAAUAAUUGUGCAAGGCAGGACUAUCCCACUGGCUCCAGCAGCGUCUUACCGGAGAGGGUUCGUUUGGAUAAAUAAUUAAAAUCCUAUCCCUCGGCUUAGCGAAAAGAAAAUAUUGACUCGGAUCCUUCUUCUUUUCCAUAUAUCAACUGCACCUGGAUUCACCCUGGAUAGUGCAGGUGAAGAAAAGAAAAAGAAAAAAAGGGGGGGGAAGAAGAGGAAAAGCCCACCUCCUCCACCCCGGCAGCCCUCAGAUGUCUUCUCCGAAGGCUUUCUGGGUUUUCUGUCUCUGUCCUGGCGGGCUGUGCCUCUCCCCAAAGCCGCCUCGCCGCGCAGGAUGGAGGAAGCACUGAAGGGCACACUGGUCUCUUUGCUCCCCCUUUAUUCCAAGGCUGGGCGGCUUUGCUUCAGAUAUCCCCGCUCCGGGCAUGAAGGUACUGGAAAGAAAGUUCUUACCUGCUAUUUUCUAAGCCUAAUGCAUCCGAUCCGCGUUUAAAGUACAUAUUUUUUAAUUAAAAAAAAAAUGGUCUGUGACCAUUCACUUCCUCAUAUUGAGUCCCACUGAAUUUUAAUAUGCCCUUUUAGGAAUUUUCCUCUAUUUAUUUACUUAGCAAUCCCAGCUGAUGGAGGGACAAGAAAAAAAGGGGAAAAAAAAGAAAAAAGGAAAGAAAGAAAAGGCCAGAUAUAUACAAGAUAGGCUCGGAUAUUGGACCAAAGGAGAGAUCAGUCCCAGGAGGAUGUUGGUACAGGAAAGGAGGCGGCUCUCGUUGCUCUGCCAGUGUAAUGAUGGUGCUCACACAUGUAGGACUCCUCGGGUACGGGGUAUCCUUUGGUCUCUGGGCUAAACUGGCUACAAGGCAUUCAAUUUCAGUUCACGCCGGAGAUCUCCGCGCUCUCCCCGGUCUCCCCCGCCGCGUCAAGCAGGACACCCCCUCCGUCCGGGGGAAAAAGCUCCGCCGCGGCGCUUCCUCUCGUCGCCUCUCCGCGGCCGCGCCCGCCCGCGCCUCCGCCAUCCAGUGCCCGGCUCCGCGCCCCCGCCCGCAGCCGUGCGGCACCUCCGCGGCCGGGGAACGCGUCCGGCCCGCGCACGGCCGGGGAUGCGCCGGGGCCGCCGCUCGGC